UACGUAGGGGGCAAGCGUUGUCCGGAUUUACUGGGCGUAAAGGGCGCGUAGGCGGCUUGGCAAGUGGAUGGUGAAAUCCCUCGGCUUAACCGAGGAACUGCCAUCCAGACUGCUUUGCUUGAGGCCGGGAGAGGUGAGUGGAAUUCCCAGUGUAGCGGUGAAAUGCGUAGAUAUUGGGAGGAACACCAGUGGCGAAGGCGGCUCACCGGACCGGUUCUGACGCUGAGGCGCGAAAGCGUGGGGAGCAAACGGG
rnacentral:rRNA from 1 species